CCUACGGGUGGCAGCAGUGGGGAAUAUUGGACAAUGGGCGAAAGCCUGAUCCAGCCAUGCCGCGUGUGUGAAGAAGGCCUUCGGGUUGUAAAGCACUUUCAGUGGGGAAGAAAGCCUUGGGGCUAAUACCCUCGAGGAAGGACAUCACCCACAGAAGAAGCACCGGCUAACUCCGUGCCAGCAGCCGCGGUAAUACGGAGGGUGCGAGCGUUAAUCGGAAUUACUGGGCGUAAAGCGCGCGUAGGCGGUCUGAUAAGCCGGUUGUGAAAGCCCCGGGCUCAACCUGGGAACGGCAUCCGGAACUGUCAGGCUAGAGUGCAGGAGAGGAAGGUAGAAUUCCCGGUGUAGCGGUGAAAUGCGUAGAGAUCGGAAGGAAUACCAGUGGCGAAGGCGGCCUUCUGGACUGACACUGACGCUGAGGUGCGAAAGCGUGGGUAGCAAACAGGAUUAGAUACCCGGGUAGUC
rnacentral:rRNA from 1 species